rnacentral:misc_RNA from 1 species
GACAGCCCUCUGAUCGCAAGCCAAGUUGUCGUUUGUUUAGUUUUAAAUAAACCACCCCGGCCCAAGAAAGGGAAAGCUACAUCCAUUUGUAGCUGAAUAAGUAAGACCAAAUCUGCAUCAAGAACGAAACGCCAUUCCUGCGGUGCGGAGCUCUGCUCACCGUAGCCGAGCAGGACAUGGUUGAGAGACGCGAAGACGGAGCAAGCAAAGACGUAUCGCCGGCAGCUGCCGCCGACGCCGCGAACACGGACGCCACCGCCGUCCUCCGGCUCCUGCGGGAGCACGUCGUCCACGCGCGCGUACCGGUUCUUCCUCCCCAAGAACCCCGGCAAGCUGCGGCCGGCGGCCGCCACCUCGGCCCCCAUCACCUCUGCCUUGCUCAGCCCCUCCGCUCCUCGUCCGAGAAGCCCGGCAGGCACCCGGCUAAGGUGCAGACGUGCAGUGGAUCUGAGGAAGCUAGCAGGCAAGCGUGGAAAAAGAGUUGGAGGAAACAAGGCGGGAUUUGUUUAAGACGUGGACAUUUUAUAUGUUUCGAUGCUUAUAAGCUCAG